rnacentral:rRNA from 1 species
UACAGAGGGUGCAAGCGUUAUUCGGAAUCACUGGGCGUAAAGAGUUCGUAGGCGGUUUGUUAAGUCGAAUGUGAAAGCCCUGGGCUCAAUCCAGGAAGUGCAUUCGAUACUGGCAAGCUAGAGUGCAGGAGAGGAGAGCGGAAUUCCAGGUGUAGAGGUGAAAUUCGUAGAUAUCUGGAGGAACAACAGAGGCGAAGGCGGCUCUCUGGACUGUCACUGACGCUGAGGAACGAAAGCGUGGGGAGCAAACAGG